CGAAGGAACUGUCCCAGUCAGUGCAACGCAACAGCAUCAUUAGGUGUGCUCUCAGUGUGCUGAAUGCUGUCAGGGUACUAGGACAAAUCAGGGGCGCUGCUAGUCAGCUGGCAUGCAUUCACAUCAAAAUGGCAUGCCACCAUUUGUCAGUCCCCAUUUUAUUGACUCUCAGGUGGUUGACCCAUUUCUGGCCCACCCAACCAGGUCCUGAAUUCCCACCUGGCACAACUGAAAGGCAUGGCGCUGGUCAGCACUGCGUACAUAAGCUGAU